UACGGAGGGUGCGAGCGUUUGUCCGGAAUCACUGGGCUUAAAGGGCGCGUAGGCGGGUGCUCAAGUCCGGGGUGAAAUCCUCCAGCUCAACUGGAGAACUGCCUCGGAUACUGGGUGCCUCGAGUGUGGUAGGGGUGUGCGGAACUAUCGGUGGAGCGGUGAAAUGCGUUGAUAUCAGGAGGAACACCGAUGGCGAAGGCAGCAAACUGGGCAUCAACUGACGCUGAGGCGCGAAAGCGUGGGGAGCAAACAGG
rnacentral:rRNA from 1 species